CGCUAGUGGAAUCAAAUCUGACAUUCAUCUCCUCUCUCACAAAUUAGAUCUGCAAAUCUGAAGCAACAAAAAUGCGAAGAUGAAAGCAUCAUUUUUCUUUGAGUUUCAUGAGUUUACGCUCCGAUGAGCCUUGAAGAAGGGAAAGAGCAUCUGCGCCUCUUCUAUGUGGUAUCUCUCUUGAAAUUCUCGACCUUCUAUGUGGAAGCUUUGUGGGAUGUUAAAAUCAAGUACGGGAUGAUAUACAAGCUGAUUUUACAGGGGGAAAAUAACCAUGAAGUAAGGAACUCAAAGCCAAAUGGAAAGAGUUAGUAUGAACGAAAUCUAGAAAAUUUGAGCACAAGGGCAUGUCACACCCUUGGAUAUCCCCAUUAAGGGCAUUCCACGCCCUUUGUCAAAAACUAAAGUAUAAUUUCCAGUUAACCUCUUCGAUAAGGGCGUGCCACGCUCCCUAUCCUCCGCGAUAGGGGUGUUUCAUGUUGGAGUGUCAAAAUCGGCCAAUUGUUUCCAAGUGUAAAAGAACACUCCUAUUGUACUAUACACAUCUUGGACGACCUUUGGGGCUUGGAAUACACUUGACAUGGCUUCUCUUAGGUUUUUUUAUCAUUUCCCUUAUUUUACUUUUGUAUUAUGAGCAUGAAUCCCUUAAUUGUGAUUCUUUGUAAUUCCAUGAUUAGAUAAACACCCUCAUUCGGGGUUGAGGAAAAGAACAUGAGUAGUUAUUCUUGUAAUUAAGUUGGUUUUUGUAAUUUAGCAUUAUUAGUUUUU